CCUACGGGAGGCAGCAGUGAGGAAUAUUGGACAAUGGGCGCAAGCCUGAUCCAGCCAUGCCGCGUGCAGGAUGACGGUCCUAUGGAUUGUAAACUGCUUUUGUACAGGAAGAAACAGUUCUACGUGUAGAACCUUGACGGUACUGUAAGAAUAAGGAUCGGCUAACUCCGUGCCAGCAGCCGCGGUAAUACGGAGGAUCCAAGCGUUAUCCGGAAUCAUUGGGUUUAAAGGGUCCGUAGGCGGUUUAGUAAGUCAGUGGUGAAAGCCCAUCGCUCAACGGUGGAACGGCCAUUGAUACUGCUAAACUUGAAUUAUUAGGAAGUAACUAGAAUAUGUAGUGUAGCGGUGAAAUGCUUAGAGAUUACAUGGAAUACCAAUUGCGAAGGCAGGUUACUACUAAUGGAUUGACGCUGAUGGACGAAAGCGUGGGUAGCGAACAGGAUUAGAUACCCUGGUAGUCCACGCCGUAAACGAUGGAUACUAGCUGUUGGAAGCAAUUUCAGUGGCUAAGCGAAAGUGAUAAGUAUCCCACCUGGGGAGUACGUUCGCAAGAAUGAAACCUNAAAGAUUGACGNUGAGAGNGCGACGACGACGACGAGGGAGGAGG
rnacentral:rRNA from 1 species